rnacentral:snoRNA from 1 species
GUGCUUCUCUUCACUGGUGGUGUAAUUCUUUGCACUAUUCGUUCCCGAGAAGCAGAGCAACAUCUGGCCCAUACCAUUGCCAGUUCACA